rnacentral:rRNA from 1 species
CUACGGGGGGCAGCAGUGGGGAAUAUUGCACAAUGGGCGCAAGCCUGAUGCAGCCAUGCCGCGUGUGUGCAGAAGGCCUUCGGGUUGUAAAGCACUUUCAGCGGGGAGGAAGGCGGUGAGGUUAAUAACCUCAUCGAUUGACGUUACCCGCAGAAGAAGCACCGGCUAACUCCGUGCCAGCAGCCGCGGUAAUACGGAGGGUGCAAGCGUUAAUCGGAAUUACUGGGCGUAAAGCGCACGCAGGCGGUCUGUCAAGUCGGAUGUGAAAUCCCCGGGCUCAACCUGGGAACUGCAUUCGAAACUGGCAGGCUAGAGUCUUGUAGAGGGGGGUAGAAUUCCAGGUGUAGCGGUGAAAUGCGUAGAGAUCUGGAGGAAUACCGGUGGCGAAGGCGGCCCCCUGGACAAAGACUGACGCUCAGGUGCGAAAGCGUGGGGAGCAAACAGGAUUAGAUACCCGAGUAGUC